rnacentral:lncRNA from 1 species
UGUGGAGUGGGCCUUUUCCGUUUCCCUUUGCCCACCAUCCCACAGGCCCUUUGUCAAGUUUUGCAGACCCAGGAAUUAGUUCUUAUCUGUUCUUCUGUGAGCCUUGUUUCGACCAUAGCUGGGAAACUCCAGGUGCCCAUGCCCAUCUCUCAGAACUGGUUUCGGGGCUUGUGUUAGAGCUACAACAGCGGUUUCCAACCUGUGGGUUGUGACCUCUUUGGGGUUGGGUAUCAGAUAUUUCUAUUAUGAUCCAAAAUAGUAGGCAAACUUCCAGUUAUGACGUAGCAACAAAUAAUCUAAUGGUUGGGGGUCAAUGCAACAUGAGGAAGUGUAUUAAAGGGUCACAGCGUUAGGAAGGUUGAGAGCCACUGCCAUAGAAGGACUUGGCUGCCCUAAGUUUUUCACCUUUAGCUGAGGCCUCAUGGGCUCGCUUUAUCUGCUUUGCUAGAUUCUGGGCACAGCUCCUUGUAUGGAGUCAGGGUCUGUGGCUUGCUUUGGAGUCUUUACUGUAUAAAAUGUGUCAGAGUCUCACAUGUGGCAAGCAAGUGCUCGCUGAUAAGUUUGCAGUCCCCAGCUCUUUCUAAACUUUAUUUUAAACUGGUCUUACUAAAUUGUUCUGGCUAGCUUUAAAACGUGUGAUUCCCCCUGCCUCCACCUUCUUAGUAGGUAGUAUUAUAGGCAUGUAUCGUCACACCCGGGUGUACCCCUCUCCCCCACCCAGAGAUUCACAGAUGCUAGCUAGGCGUGCUUUCAAUCACUGAGUCACACCUCCAGCCCAGAUUACAAAUACUCAUCUAUUCUGUGAGCUGUUCUGGGCAUGAUGCCCAUCACAUGAGAGAGAAUGCUGCUUAUGUAUGGCAAUGGCUCUGGACAGCAGGAAUGGAGGGAACACGUGCAUCACAAUAGGAAGUGAGUCCAGGUAGCCCUGAUAUACAUUUACCCUUCCUUUAUGAUGUUAGCGUGUUUUCUUCCUUUUGUGGGUCAGAUUCCAUGCAAGAUGUAGCGGAUGGAGCUGGGAAUGGGAGCGGGGAAGAGUUCUGUCUUUGGGUUUUAAUUCUAACAGGGAGGAGACUGGCACCUAAAGAGUUAGUUGGCCAAUGUGACACAUAGAAAUGGACUAAGGAUAGGGUCAGAAAGAUGCACAGUGGAAAAGGCACUUACUGCCAAGCCUGGUGACAGUUUGAUCCCCAGGACCCAUGUGGUGGAAGGAGUUGUCCUUUGACCUCUAAAGGUUCUCUACAGUGCACUUGCACACCAGAGUACUAGCUGUAGAAAAUAUUGAAAGAGCUAAGGAGAAGAAACAAAGGGUGUAAGGUGUAUGGGAUGGUUUGAAUGGGGCUGACAGGAAAGACCCAAGUGAGUGAAGCUGGAGCCUGGGAGGAAGCUAAUGCUUUAGAUACCAGAGGAGGGAGGGGCCUGUAGGAGUCUGGACUGCUUGCACUGUGCACUGAGGUCUGGGGCAGGGGCAGGUUUUCGUUUUCUAGGUGUCCACUGUGGAUAUUGGAGUAUAUUUAUAUUCCUUAUGGAGAUGGGGGUGGGAGGAAUCUGUGAGAUCUGUGUUUUCAUUUGCAUUUUUUCUCAGUAGGACAGGGGCGUGGACAAAUGGACCCGAGGGCUCCUUUCUGCACCAGCUUUUUUUUCUACUGCUGAUGCCAUCCGUUAGUGUGUCAUAUCUUACAGAAACGCCUCUCUGGCUGGGUGGUGCAGCCUGUGCUAUGGAGUAAGUUCAAGGACAGCCAGGGAAACCCUGUCUUAGAAAACAAAAACCAACCAAACAACCAAACCAAACAAAACAAAAAAAGAAAAAAGAAAAAGAAAAGAAAAGAAAGAG